AACACAUGCAAGUCGAACGGGAUUGAUUGAAAGCUUGCUUUGAAAGAUCUAGUGGCAAACGGGUGAGUAACGCGUAGGCAACCUGCCUCUAAGAUGGGGACAACAGCCCAAAGGGCUAGCUAAUACCGGAAUGUUGUAUCUUUUUCCGCAUGGGAGAGAUAUUAAAGAUGGCCUCUACUUGUAAGCUAUCACUUAGAGAUGGGCCUGCGUCUGAUUAGCUAGUUGGUGGGGUAACGGCUCACCAAGGCGACGAUCAGUAGCCGGUCUGAGAGGAUGAACGGCCACAUUGGGACUGAGACACGGCCCAGACUCCUACGGGAGGCAGCAGUGGGGAAUCUUCCGCAAUGGGCGAAAGCCUGACGGAGCAACGCCGCGUGAAGUGAAGAAGGUCUUCGGAUCGUAAAGCUCUGUCGAAGGGACGAACGUAAUCUUUAUCAACAACGAAGGUUAAUGACGGUACCUUUCAAGAAAGCCACGGCUAACUACGUGCCAGCCGCUGC
rnacentral:rRNA from 1 species